rnacentral:lncRNA from 10 species
UUUUGGCAGACAUUUUCUUGAAAAUGAAGGUAACGAACCUGUUACUUCAAGGAAAACAACUGUUACCAAUAUAAAAUUCAAGCUUAUGGAUGCAUCUGGACCCUCAGAUAGUGAUAUGCCAAGUCGGACACGACCUAAGAGCCCAAGAAAACAUAAUUAUAGGAAUGAAAGUGCCCGUGAAAGCCUUUGUGAUUCUCCUCAUCAGAAUCUCUCAAGAGUGAGUAUAGAUAAGAUAAGCCUCUUCUGGAAAACAAACUUAAAGCAUUCAGUAUUGGAAAAAUGAGUACAGCUAAGCGAACUUUAAGUAAAAAGGAACAGGAAGAAUUAAAGAAAAAGGAGGAUGAAAAGGCAGCUGCUGAGAUUUAUGAGGAGUUUCUUGCUGCUUUUGAAGGAAGUGAUGGUAAUAAAGUGAAAACAUUUGUGCGAGGGGGUGUUGUUAAUGCAGCUAAAGAAGAACAUGAAACAGAUGA